CAGUCGCCGCGGGAAUACGUAGGUGGCAAGCGUUGUCCGGAAUUAUUGGGCGUAAAGCGCGCGCAGGCGGCUUCCCAAGUCCCUCUUAAAAGUGCGGGGCUUAACCCCGUGAUGGGAAGGAAACUGGGAAGCUGGAGUAUCGGAGAGGAAAGUGGAAUUCCUAGUGUAGCGGUGAAAUGCGUAGAGAUUAGGAAGAACACCGGUGGCGAAGGCGACUCUCUGGACGAAAACUGACGCUGAGGCGCGAAAGCGUGGGGAGCAAACAGGAUUAGAUACCCCGGUAGUCCCUGUAUCUUAUACA
rnacentral:rRNA from 1 species